UUAUCUCCCCCAAUACUCUCUCCUCUCCUCUCCACUCACUCAACCUAUCUCGCGCCUCUCCCAGUCUCCCCUCCCCCGCCGCAUUUGCCGCGCAUGUUGAAAAGCUCAUGUCGCAACCGCGCGACUCUACCCGCCGAACACCGCAUCCGUCGCAUGCAUCGGCGGUUGCCGCGCGAGGAAGGUCACCACUGGUCCCACGACAGCCUCAGCUGGAGGAGGAAAAUAGGUCCAUAGUGAUGGACGCUCAAGUAAGAGGAGCGUCCCCAAUAGUGGCGGCCUCGAGCACGGGGAUAAGUGCAGGUUGGGGAUGCAGGAGAGGUGCAACACGGGGUUUGGAGGUCUGACGAGCUGGGUGCAGCGCGACCGACAGUGACGGACGCAGGGACGCAUUGAUCCGGGCAUGGGUGCUCAAUCCGGUCCCGUUCAGGCCGGAUCCGCGGCGGUGCUCAUCUCCGGCGAGGUGGCCUGUGACUCGCGGGACAACGGCGGUGCAAGACCAUGGGAGGAGCUCAUCACAUGCGGCUGGGGCGCGAGGUCUUAUUGGCUUCGGUUGCCGGUGGCUUGAUGUAGGGGUGGCCAGGGUCCGGCGCCAUGCAGGCUCUUCGAGGAUGAGGAAGCAGACGGCGAUGACAACUUUGAGGCUGGCGGGGGUGUUGUCUCUGCGUUUGAUGGUCGUUGUGAAUGCCGUGGGCUCCAACGCGAACGCCAUUGGCUCUCUUCCCUACAGAUUUACAUGAAAAGGAGAAUGCCGGUAGCUGGAAUUCUGGACCGGAAAGGAGCAAAUCUGAGAUCCCUAUUCUGCACAACUCCAAAUGUCCUGAAACUUUAUUGAGAAUUAUUUUGGAAUAUAAAAAAAUAUUGGGUGAAGAAAUACAAGGAGGGGACCCACCAGGUGGCCACAAGCCCGGGGGAGUGCCCUACCCCCAAGGCACGCCCCCCGGGCUUGUGGGCCCCCUGACUAGCCUCCGGUGCCCAUCUUCUACUAUAUGAAGGGUUUUUACCUAGAAAAAAAUAAGAGGAAGGCUUUUAGGAUGAAGCGACGUCGUCUCAAGGCGGAACCUGGGUAGAAGCAAUCUAGGUCUCCGGCGGAGCGAUUCUACUGGGGAAACUUUCGUCCGAGAGGGGGAAAUCGAAGCCAUCGUCGUCACCAUCUUCACUAGCACCAUAUCCACUCAAACUCUAGUUCAGCUCUUGUAUUGAAUCUUUGUCUCAAAACUUUAGAUUGGUACCUGUGGGUUGCCAGUACUGUAGAUUACUCCUUGUAGCUGAUGCUAGUUGGUUUAUUUGGUGGAAUAUCAUAUGUUUAGAUUCUUAAUGCCAUUUGAUACCCUAUGAUCUUGAACAUGAA